UUCUGCCUCAGCCUCCCAAGAAGCUAGGACUACAGUCUGAAGUCUGAAAUGGGUCUCAAGAAGCUAAAAUCAAGAUGUUAGUAGAGUUGUGUUCCUUCUGAAAACCCUAGUCACUCCUGUAGCAGACUCCAGGAGAAGAGAAGUCACAAAGACGACUGGUUUUUGCCUUGAUGGAGCUUACAGUCUAGAAGAGAAGAUAGAUAUUAAACAAAGUCUUCACCUACAAUGAUGGGAAGACUACAAAAGGGAAGUGAACGUUUUAUUAGAGCAAUUAAUGGAGAAUUAAUGAAUUAAUUUGGGUAUAAGACUGUAGUGUCAAAGAAAGCCUCCCUAGGGAAGAAAUGUUUCAAGUGUAACUUGGGAAAUGAGUAAGAGUUGACCAGUGAACUGGAGGCAGAGUGAUUCUGGCAUAGAAAAAAAGCUCAUGCCAGUUCUUUAGGGUAUUCAUAAAACCAAAGGAAAGGUUGAAUAUCUAAAGGGAGAUGUGUUUAGGGAGGGUGGCAUAAAAUGAGACUGGAAAAAUGAUCAGAGGCCAAAUAUCAAAGGGUCUUAAAGAUGAAUUUUUAGAGUCAGAUAGGGUGAUACUAAUAUUAGGUUGGUGCAAUAGUAAUUUAAUGGCAAAAACUCCAAUUACUUUUGCACCAACCUAAUAUUUAUGUGAAACCAUGAUUGUCCUGACUUGGUGAGAUUUUUUUAAAGCAAAGUUUCUAUAACUUCCUAAUUCUAGUUUAUGUUUAUUCUCUUCAAAAGCAUACGUUAUUUAUUUAUUUAUUUAAUUAAUUUUAUUUUAUUUUGAGA
rnacentral:lncRNA from 1 species